UUCGGUUUGGGUGGCGGACGGGUGAGUAACGCGUAAAGAACUUGCCUCACAGAUAGGGACAACAUUUGGAAACGAAUGCUAAUACCUGAUAUUAUGAUUUUAGGGCAUCCUAGGAUUAUGAAAGCUAUAUGCGCUGUGAGAGAGCUUUGCGUCCCAUUAGCUAGUUGGAGAGGUAACGGCUCACCAAGGCGAUGAUGGGUAGCCGGCCUGAGAGGGUGAUCGGCCACAAGGGGACUGAGACACGGCCCUUACUCCUACGGGAGGCAGCAGUGGGGAAUAUUGGACAAUGGACCAAGAGUCUGAUCCAGCAAUUCUGUGUGCACGAUGAAGUUUUUCGGAAUGUAAAGUGCUUUCAGUUGGGAAGAAAAAAAUGACGGUACCAACAGAAGAAGUGACGGCUAAAUACGUGCCAGCAGCCGCGGUAAUACGUAUGUCACAAGCGUUAUCCGGAUUUAUUGGGCGUAAAGCGCGUCUAGGUGGUUAUGUAAGUCUGAUGUGAAAAUGCAGGGCUCAACUCUGUAUUGCGUUGGAAACUGUGUAACUAGAGUACUGGAGAGGUAAGCGGAACUACAAGUGUAGAGGUGAAAUUCGUAGAUAUUUGUAGGAAUGCCGAUGGGGAAGCCAGCUUACUGGACAGAUACUGACGCUGAAGCGCGAAAGCGUGGGUAGCAAACAGGAUUAGAUACCCUGGUAGUCCACGCCGUAAACGAUGAUUACUAGGUGUUGGGGGUCGAACCUCAGCGCCCAAGCAAACGCGAUAAGUAAUCCGCCUGGGGAGUACGUACGCAAGUAUGAAACUCAAAGGAAUUGACGGGGACCCGCACAAGCGGUGGAGCAUGUGGUUUAAUUCGACGCAACGCGAGGAACCUUACCAGCGUUUGAC
rnacentral:rRNA from 1 species